UACAGAGGGGGCAAGCGUUAUUCGGAAUUAUUGGGCGUAAAGGGCGCGUAGGCGGCUUUGCAAGUGGCGGGUGAAAUCCCUCGGCUUAACCGAGGAACUGCCUGUCAAACUGCAUGGCUUGAGACCGGGAGAGGUGAGUGGAAUUCCCAGUGUAGCGCUGAAAUGCGUAGAUAUUGGGAGGAACACCAGUGGCGAAGGCGGCUCACUGGACCGGUACUGACGCUGAUGCGCGAAAGCGUGGGGAGCAAACAGG
rnacentral:rRNA from 1 species